rnacentral:rRNA from 1 species
AUUGAACGCUGGCGGCAUGCCUAACACAUGCAAGUCGAGCGGUUGAAGGGAGCUUGCUCCUGGAUUCAGCGGCGGGCGGGUGUGUAAUGCCUAGGAAUCUGCCUGGUAGUGGGGUAUAACAUCCGCAAACGGGCGCUAAUACCGCAUACUUUCUGAGGGAGAGAGUGGGGGAUCUUCGGACCGUACGCUAUCGGGUGAGCCUAGGUCGGAUUAGCUAGUUGGUGGGGUGAAGGCCUACCAAGGCGACGAUCCGUAACUGGUCUGAGAGGAUGAGCAGCCACACUGGAACUGAGACACGGCCCAGACUCCUACGGGAGGCAGCAGUGGGGAAGAUUGGACAAUGGGCGAAAGCCUGAUCCAGCCAUGCCGCGUGUGUGAAGAAGGUCUUCGGAUUGUAAAGCACUUUAAGUUGGGAGGAAGGGCAGUAAGUUAAUACCUUGCUGUUUUGACGUUACCAACAGAAUAAGCACCGGCUAACUACGUG